GUAGCGAAAUUCCUUGUCGGGUAAGUUCCGACCUGCACGAAUGGCGUAAUGAUGGCCAGGCUGUCUCCACCCGAGACUCAGUGAAAUUGAACUCGCUGUGAAGAUGCAGUGUACCCGCGGCAAGACGGAAAGACCCCGUGAACCUUUACUAUAGCUUGACACUGAACAUUGAGCCUUGAUGUGUAGGAUAGGUGGGAGGCUUUGAAGUGUGGACGCCAGUCUGCAUGGAGCCGACCUUGAAAUACCACCCUUUAAUGUUUGAUGUUCUAACGUGGACCCGUUACCCGGGUUGCGGACAGUGUCUGGUGGGUAGUUUGACUGGGGCGGUCUCCUCCUAAAGAGUAACGGAGGAGCACGAAGGUUGGCUAAUCCUGGUCGGACAUCAGGAGGUUAGUGCAAUGGCAUAAGCCAGCUUGACUGCGAGCGUGACGGCGCGAGCAGGUGCGAAAGCAGGUCAUAGUGAUCCGGUGGUUCUGAAUGGAAGGGCCAUCGCUCAACGGAUAAAAGGUACUCCGGGGAUAACAGGCUGAUACCGCCCAAGAGUUCAUAUCGACGGCGGUGUUUGGCACCUCGAUGUCGGCUCAUCACAUCCUGGGGCUGAAGUAGGUCCCAAGGGUAUGGCUGUUCGCCAUUUAAAGUGGUACGCGAGCUGGGUUUAGAACGUCGUGAGACAGUUCGGUCCCUAUCUGCCGUGGGCGCUGGAGAACUGAGGGGGGCUGCUCCUAGUACGAGAGGACCGGAGUGGACGCAUCACUGGUGUUCGGGUUGUCAUGCCAAUGGCACUGCCCGGUAGCUAAAUGCGGAAGAGAUAAGUGCUGAAAGCAUCUAAGCACGAAACUUGCCCCGAGAUGAGUUCUCCCUGAGACUUUAGGUCUCCUGAAGGAACGUUGAAGACGACGACGUUGAUAGGCCGGGUGUGUAAGCGCAGCGAUGCGUUGAGCUAACCGGUACUAAUGAACCGUGAGGCUUAACCU
rnacentral:rRNA from 1 species